rnacentral:lncRNA from 1 species
GUCAUGAUGCAGGGGAGGAAACAGACUUGAAAAUCUCUUCUAGGUAUCUUGGCAGGAAGCAUUCAGCAACACAUGAAGAACUCACAGACAACACUGUAUUCUAAACAGCAGACCUGUACUGGCUGGGCUACUCCAGAACCACCAUUUCUCUCAGCACUCUGGCAAAGCCCUGAUCAUCAUCAGCAGGUUAAAAGGUCAGAUUGGAGAACCAGUCAAACUUCUUUACAGCACACGCUCAACAGGCAGGGCCAGGGAACGUCACCAGGGACUUUCAGCAUAGCCACUACUAACCUGUCUUCAUGUCUCUGGAUCUGCAAAAUGCCAGAACAUGCAAAGAAAACGUGCCAUGCUUCCAGGUGCUACCUUUAUAGAAGAGUCCCUCAGCCUUCGACAAACUGCUGUAACCUUACAGACACAGAUAAUUCCUGCCUUAAGAGGCACAAUAACACAGCAGUUUUUUCAUUCCUGGGACACAAAACCCACUUUGUUAGCAACAGGUACCAACACAACUGCUGCAAGUUCCCAAAUGAACUGAACCAUGCUCCUGCAAACAUUUUACUUUUCCAAUAG